GUGCACAUGAUGCUACCUUGCGCUCCACAGAGGCAGAGGAUGUGUUGUUUUUGCCUUUUUGUCACCAGUGCCUGGUCUUUGUUAUGUGAAAUGGAUCUCAGGGAGGGAGAAAAGGGACAUGGAGAAAUCAAGAGCAAUUGCGAGGAGAGUGAUCUGACCCUUACGGCACUAUGGAAUUGGGAGCUGCUAUUUUUAUUAUUAUCCAACUUCUGCUUGGAGACCUCCAGUGGCAGGAAGCUCACUAUUUCUCCAGCCAGUCUCCUGUACUGUAGAACAGCUCUCAUUGUUAGGAAGUCUCUUCUUAUUUUGAGCCGAAACCUGAUUCCCUCUAAUUUCUCCUUGUUUUUCUUCCUGUCCCCUUUAGUCACCCAGAGUAAGUGGCACCUCCUCCCUCCCACCCUGGCUGUGCAGAUUACAGAAUCAAGGAUUUCCAGUUGGAAGCACCUCUGAGAUUAUCCUGUGACUAGAUUCUAGUCCACCCCCUUCCUUUUCCGGAGCAGGAAAUUGCUGCAGUUACCAUCAAGUCAUUUAAACUCAUCUAGAAAGCACUAGAGCCAAAAUUUGGACCCAGGGCUUGAACCCAAUACCCAAAUCCAGUGCUUCCAAAUGCAAAUCUUCCAUCAUUCCUCCUCCUCUGACCGAACCCCCCUCAGCCUUCUCUUCUCUGAGAUGAACAGUCCCAGGUUCUUCUCAGAUGACAUGGCUUGCCCCUCUCCCACUCUCUUCCCUCCCUUUACUUCCGUUAGAGGGCCAGCUCUAACAGGGCUGCUCUUCCAGGAGCCCUGGCCCCAGCUAGGGCCUCUAUCGGAGGCUGUGGGUGUGAGAAACCUCCCUGGCUGCAAGUACAUCAUUGCUACAUCCUUCCUGGGCUCUAAUGACAUCUCGGUAAUAGGCAGAAAACGAGGCAAUGGGUGCAAAAAGCUAGUGUUUACAGUACACCAGGAAGGUAUACAGGAAAAUAGAGCAGCUUGUUACACUUAGCCCUCAAUAAAAAAUCUUCUAAGUGCCUAAUUAACA
rnacentral:lncRNA from 1 species